GAUGAAGAACGUAGUGAAAUGCGAUAAGUAAUGCGAAUUGCAGAAUUCAGUGAGUCAUCGAAUCUUUGAACGCACAUUGCGCCCUGUGGUAUUCCGCAGGGCAUGCCUGUUCGAACGUCAUUUCAACCCUCAAGCCCCGCUUGGUGUUGGGCCCCGCCCGCUGUGGCCGGCCCUAAAGACAGUGGCGGCGCCGCCUGGCCCUCAGCGUAGUACAUCUCUCGCUCCAGGGUCCGGUGGCCGCCUGCCAGAACCCCCCAACUCUGUGGUUGACCUCGGAUCAGGUAGGGAUACCCGCUGAACUUAAGCAUAUCAAUAAGCGGAGGA
rnacentral:misc_RNA from 1 species